AGCUGGCNNGUGCCUAUCAUGCAGUCGAGCGAAUGGAUUAAGAGCUUGCUCUUAUGAAGUUAGCGGCGGACGGGUGAGUAACACGUGGGUAACCUGCCCAUAAGACUGGGAUAACUCCGGGAAACCGGGGCUAAUACCGGAUAACAUUUUGAACCGCAUGGUUCGAAAUUGAAAGGCGGCUUCGGCUGUCACUUAUGGAUGGACCCGCGUCGCAUUAGCUAGUUGGUGAGGUAACGGCUCACCAAGGCAACGAUGCGUAGCCGACCUGAGAGGGUGAUCGGCCACACUGGGACUGAGACACGGCCCAGACUCCUACGGGAGGCAGCAGUAGGGAAUCUUCCGCAAUGGACGAAAGUCUGACGGAGCAACGCCGCGUGAGUGAUGAAGGCUUUCGGGUCGUAAAACUCUGUUGUUAGGGAAGAACAAGUGCUAGUUGAAUAAGCUGGCACCUUGACGGUACCUAACCAGAAAGCCACGGCUAACUACGUGCCAGCAGCCGCGGUAAUACGUAGGUGGCAAGCGUUAUCCGGAAUUAUUGGGCGUAAAGCGCGCGCAGGUGGUUUCUUAAGUCUGAUGUGAAAGCCCACGGCUCAACCGUGGAGGGUCAUUGGAAACUGGGAGACUUGAGUGCAGAAGAGGAAAGUGGAAUUCCAUGUGUAGCGGUGAAAUGCGUAGAGAUAUGGAGGAACACCAGUGGCGAAGGCGACUUUCUGGUCUGUAACUGACACUGAGGCGCGAAAGCGUGGGGGAGCAAACAGGAUUAGAUACCCUGGUAGUCCACGCCGUAAACGAUGAGUGCUAAGUGUUANAGGGUUUCCGCCCCUUUAGUGCCUGAAUUUAACGCAUUAAGCACUCCGCCUGGGGNAGUACNGGCGGCAAG
rnacentral:rRNA from 1 species